CCCUUUCGGAGCGAAAUUCUGUCACGGUUUUCCAAAUAAGUUUUUUAAAAACUCAAUUUUCUUAUUGCUUAUACUGUUAAUUCGAGAAAAGUCUUAUCUUGACGACUGCUUUACUCAGAGUAACUGUCUUCCAAAUCUGAAGAUUCCAUCUCAAACGUCGAAAUUCGUCCGCAAUCGUUGAAGAUCGAGGAACAUCCGUUGGUAUCGGUAGAUAAUCUCGAUGACGAAUCAGCAGAAAGUUGAGUGACUUCGCGGCGAUACAAAUUCGAAAGUGCUCGGCGGCCAGAGGCUCGGAUAAUACGCAAAAGAGAAGCUUAAAAAGUAAUUACCGGCGAGGAGGGCGCGCCGGUUAAAAAUUGGCGUAUAUAAAAAGUUUUCUAAUUUCAGAAGCUGAGGACCGCGGAACAAAAUGGAAGGUGCGCAGUGCUCCAACGUGUACGAUCUUUUCGAAUUCCGAAGUGAAACGUAGAUUUGUCGAUGGAAAAAAGCUCCGAGCAAUCUACGAUCUUCACAAGCAAAGCGCAGAGGGAAGAUGAAAUUCUAGCGUAAAUAUUGAACCGACGCUCGAGUCGCUUCGUGUCGUUCUGUUUCGGAAGCAUUCACUAUUUAGAGGGAAACGUAAACAAUCUCGUUCCUCGGACGAAAAGCUUCGGAGGAUGUAUCAAUUGCUUAACACGUGUACCACCGGUGCCUCAUAGUUAUUCUCGAUGGAAACGAAGGAACUCAUAAGUAUGCGGUUCAAUUCAAGACGCAAAUACACAAACUAAGACAGUAAGUCUAAGAAACUAAGCAAAAGUAAAACUGAGAGACUAAGUCUACACAGAAGUAGACUUUCGUUGAAUCUCCAAUCACUUUUCAAAGAGUAUUAACGGAAUUCCACGCGGACAAAAGAAACACCAGUAAGAUAUCAUAUUAGACAGUGCGUAGAGUUCAAAAGGUUAAGAGCCAAGAUUAGGUACAUGGACCAGUAUUAUUCCAUUUGACUGAAUAUGUUUCUAUUCAACUUCGUGCCACCAUAAAGAAACAAUCUAAAUGAAUUCCUACAAAUUCCUCAAACAAUCUAAAUGAUUUCCAUUGCAUUAGAACCUAAACAGUUGUAAUAAUAACUAAGUCAAGUUGUUACCUCUAUCGUAUCCAUUAAAUUCAUAGAAAGAGGUUCAUAGAAACCAGAAAAUUUGUCGUCUCAGCCACUACAUGAUCCCAUAGAAAAGUGAAAUUGAACAAGUUCCCGAUACAUGACUCGAGUGGACGACGGA